AUGUCUUUUAUACAGCACAUAUAUACUAAAAUUGGAAUGACACAGAGAUUAGCAUGGUCCCUGUGCAAGGAUGACAUGCAAAUUUGUGAAGCAAAUGUGUGAUUA